GCGAACGGGUGAGUAACCGUGAGUAACCUGCCCUUGACUCUGGGAUAAGCCUGGGAAACUGGGUCUAAUACCGGAUAUGACUCCUCAUCGCAUGGUGGGGGGUGGAAAGCUUUUGUGGUUUUGGAUGGACUCGCGGCCUAUCAGCUUGUUGGUGGGGUAAUGGCCUACCAAGGCGACGACAGGUAGCCGGCCUGAGAGGGUGACCGGCCACACUGGGACUGAGACACGGCCCAGACUCCUACGGGAGGCAGCAGUGGGGAAUAUUGCACAAUGGGCGCAAGCCUGAUGCAACGACGCCGCGUGAGGGAUGACGGCCUUCGGGUUGUAAACCUCUUUCAGUAGGGAAGAAGCGAAAGUGACGGUACCUGCAGAAGAAGCGCCGGCUAACUACGUGCCAGCAGCCGCGGUAAUACGUAGGGCGCAAGCGUUAUCCGGAAUUAUUGGGCGUAAAGAGCUCGUAGGCGGUUUGUCGCGUCUGCUGUGAAAGACCGGGGCUCAACUCCGGUUCUGCAGUGGGUACGGGCAGACUAGAGUGAUGUAGGGGAGACUGGAAUUCCUGGUGUAGCGGUGAAAUGCGCAGAUAUCAGGAGGAACACCGAUGGCGAAGGCAGGUCUCUGGGCAUUAACUGACGCUGAGGAGCGAAAGCAUGGGGAGCGAACAGGAUUAGAUACCCUGGUAGUCCAUGCCGUAGACGUUGGGCACUAGGUGUGGGGGACAUUCCACGUUUUUCGCGCCGUAGCUAACGCAUUAAGUGCCCC
rnacentral:rRNA from 1 species